rnacentral:rRNA from 1 species
GAUGAACGCUGGCGGCGUGCCUAAUACAUGCAAGUCGAGCGAACAGACGAGGAGCUUGCUCCUCUGACGUUAGCGGCGGACGGGUGAGUAACACGUGGAUAACCUACCUAUAAGACUGGGAUAACUUCGGGAAACCGGAGCUAAUACCGGAUAAUAUAUUGAACCGCAUGGUUCAAUAGUGAAAGACGGUUUUGCUGUCACUUAUAGAUGGAUCCGCGCCGCAUUAGCUAGUUGGUAAGGUAACGGCUUACCAAGGCAACGAUGCGCAGCCGACCUGAGAGGGUGAUCGGCCACACUAGAACUGAGACACGGUCCAGACUCAUACGGGAGGCAGCAGUAGGGAAUCUUCCGCACUGGGCGAAAGCCUGACGGAGCAACGCCGCGUGAGUGAUGAAGGUCUUCGGAUCGUAAAACUCUGUUAUUAGGGAAGAACAAAUGUGUAAGUAACUAUGCACGUCUUGACGGUACCUAAUCAGAAAGCCACGGCUAACUACGUG